AACGUAGGACACAAGCGUUAUCCGGAGUUACUGGGCGUAAAGCGCGCGUAGGCGGCUUUGCAAGUCGGGUGUGAAAUCCCCAGGCUUAACCUGGGAACUGCAUUCGAGACUGCAUUGCUAGAGUAUGGGAGAGGGAAGUGGAAUUUCCGGUGUAGCGGUGAAAUGCGUAGAGAUCCGGAGGAACACCAGAGGCGAAGGCGGCCUACUGGGCUGCACCUGACGCUGAGCCGCGAAAGCCAGGGGAGCGAACGGG
rnacentral:rRNA from 1 species